UACGUAGGGUGCGAGCGUUUGUCCGGAAUUACUGGGCGUAAAGAGCUCGUAGGUGGUUUGUCGCGUUGUUCGUGAAAAACUCACAGCUCAACUGUGGGCGUGCGGGCGAUACGGGCAGACUGGAGUACUGCAGGGGAGACUGGAAUUCCUGGUGUAGCGGUGGAAUGCGCAGAUAUCAGGAGGAACACCGGUGGCGAAGGCGGGUCUCUGGGCCGAUACUGACGCUGAGGAGCGAAAGCGUGGGGAGCGAACAGG
rnacentral:rRNA from 1 species